GGAAAAUGUAUAUGUGAACUUUUAUUUCAGCUCAUGAAACAUGGGACCAACACAUUACAUGUUGCGUUCAUAUUUUUGUUCAGUAUACAUUGUCAGUCAUAGGCUUCACUGGGAAAUGUGUUGUUGUUGUACUCACAAUCUGGCCAUACCCCAACCAAAAACCCUGGAUGAACAGAGAUAUUUGUACCAUGCUGAGAGCCCGUACUGCAGCAUUCAAUGUCAGCAGAACAAACUCUGAUGACUCGGUGAUGCGUGACAGAUACAAGGCAAGCAGGUACGAACUCCCCAAAUCCAUUAGGGAUGCAAAAAGACAAUACAGACACAAACUUGAAUUGACAGUCGACAACUCAAGACUUGCGAUGCAUGUGGCAAGGACUACAGACUAUUACGGACUACAAAGGCAAAUCCAGCUGUGUGGCCCACCAAAGUGUCCCUCCCAGAUGAUCUUAACAUAUUCUAUGCUUGCUUCGAAGCAGACAAUAUCGAACCAUCCAGGAAGACUCUCGCUGCUACGGACGACCAGGUGCUUUCGUUCUCCGAGGCUGAAGUGAGGGAAAACUCUUAAAAGAGUGAAUACUCACAAAGCUGCCAGCCCAGAUGGCAUCCCUGGCCGUGUCCUCAGUGUAUGCUGACCAGCUGAUGGGCUUCUUUUUUGACUUCUUAAACAUGUCACUGUCCCAGGCCAUAGUCCCCGCCUGCUUCAAGGAGACCACCAUCGUCCCAGUGUCCAAGAAAAACAAGAUGAUGUGUCCAAAUGACUAUCACCCCGUCAUACUCAUCCCAGUCAUCAUGAAGUGUCAAAAGAGGCUGGUCAUGGCCCACAUCAAGGCCAGCAUGCCAGCAGUCUCUGUAUCGCAACACAUGUUCUAUGGGGAUCACCAGUCUUUGUCUGUUUGGUACAAAUACAACAUGUAGCACCUCAGAGCCCAACUGCUAGAGCGGACAAGCAGUGUUCAACAUCAGUAGCAUCAAGCACAAGGGCUGCCUGGUCACACAUUUCUGCAACACCACAUCCACUUCUUCCAUAUUCCUGGGAGUCGGCUACAUCGUCUCAUAGACCUGCUCCAGCACCAAUCUGCAACGGGGUUGGCUCCGUACAACUACCUCUCACAGUGGCCCUUGGUGCAGCCCUGGUGGCCAUCUGGAGCACCUUAGCCUAGACAAACCAUUCACAAUAAGGAUACCUCCUCCAUAGGUUUCCAUGUGUUGUUAUAGUUCUUAAAUACAUAAAAUGUACUAAAACAAGUAAUAUUCUGAAAAAGACAGCAAGUUUUAUGCAGGCUAGUUUCACUAAGCUUUAGUUCUGCUUUAGUUCUGUGUAUUCCGGGUUUCCAAGCUGGUUACGGGUGCACCUCAGCCACGCUCAAGGUACUAAACGAUAUAACCGCCAUCGAUAAAAGACAGUACUAUGUCUUCAUCGACCUGGCCAAGGCU